GAUGAACGCUGGCGGCGUGCCUAACACAUGCAAGUCGAACGAAGCGCCUUUUAAGAUUCUUCGGAUGAUUGAUCGGUGACUGAGUGGCGGACGGGUGAGUAACGCGUGGGCAACCUGCCCUGUACAGGGGGAUAACAGUUGGAAACGGCUGCUAAUACCGCAUAGGCGCACGAGAGGACAUCCUCUUGUGUGAAAAACUCCGGUGGUACAGGAUGGGCCCGCGUCUGAUUAGCUGGUUGGCAGGGUAACGGCCUACCAAGGCGACGAUCAGUAGCCGGGCUGAGAGGAUGAACGGCCACAUUGGAACUGAGACACGGUCCAAACUCCUACGGGAAGGCAGCAGUGGGGAAUAUUGCACAAUGGGGGAAACCCUGAUGCAGCAACGCCGCGUGAGUGAAGAAGUGUUUCGGUAUGUAAAGCUCUAUCAGCAGGGAAGAUAAUGACGGUACCUGACUAAGAAGCUCCGGCUAAAUACGUGCCAGCCGCCGCCGUAA
rnacentral:rRNA from 1 species